rnacentral:rRNA from 1 species
AUACGGAGGGGGUUAGCGUUGUUCGGAAUUACUGGGCGUAAAGCGCACGUAGGCGGAUUGGAAAGUUGGGGGUGAAAUCCCAGGGCUCAACCCUGGAACUGCCUCCAAAACUAACAGUCUAGAGUUCGAGAGAGGUGAGUGGAAUUCCAAGUGUAGAGGUGAAAUUCGUAGAUAUUUGGAGGAACACCAGUGGCGAAGGCGGCUCACUGGCUCGAUACUGACGCUGAGGUGCGAAAGCGUGGGGAGCAAACAGGAUUAGAAACCCUUGUAGUCC